rnacentral:rRNA from 1 species
GACGAACCGUGCGAACGUUGUUCGGAUUCACUGGGCUUAAAGGGCGCGUAGGCGGUGCGACAAGUCGGACGUGAAAUCCCUCGGCUCAACCGGGGAACUGCGUCCGAUACUGGCGGGCUUGAAUUCGGGAGAGGGAUGCGGAAUUCCAGGUGUAGCGGUGAAAUGCGUAGAUAUCUGGAGGAACACCGGUGGCGAAGGCGGCAUCCUGGACCAACACUGACGCUGAGGAGCGAAAGCCAGGGGAGCAAACGGG